ensembl:ncRNA F09E5.18 ncRNA
UACAUGAAAGCUGUGCGCACGUUGCCAAUAACCGUGCCGCACCAUUGCAGUGGCCGGGAGCGGUGCGAUUUCUAGGCCAGCAGGGCUCUGCCAAAAAACUUUUUGCAAUUUUUGCUCUGAAAUCUGCAGAAAAACGCGAAGGGCAGCCUCAAGGGUGAUGUCACGACUUCCUUUUAUGACGCAGAACACCCUUUUGGACCACCCAGCGUGUGAAUAAUGUUUCG